UACGUAGGUGGCAAGCGUUGUCCGGAUUUACUGGGCGUAAAGAGCGCGCAGGCGGUCCGAUAUAGUCGAAUGUGAAAGCCCCUGGCUCAACUAGGGAGGAGUCGAUUCAUACUGUCGCGACUCGAAGGCAGGAGAGGGAAGUGGAAUUCCGGUGUAGUGGUGAAAUGCGUAGAUAUCCGGAGGAACACCAGUGGCGAAGGCGACUUUCUGGCCUGUUCUUGACGCUGAGGCGCGAAGCUA
rnacentral:rRNA from 1 species